AAGAAACAAGCAUAAACAAAAACACAGAUAACUAUAAUAUAUCUUUCAUAACACAAUACCACGCUAAUGCGGAAAAUUUACAAACCAUUAUAAGAAAACAUUGGCAUUUAAUUCAAGACAACCCACAGUUAAAAAAUCUCUUUGAUAAAAAACCUACAAUAGCAUUCAAAAGAAACAGGAACAUUGGGGAAAUCGUUAAGAAACACUUGAAAUAAAUCAAUGUCUCCCAAUAGAAAUUAAUUAGACAGUUACACUAAAACCAACGGAAGGUGCGUUGACAAUGAAAAAUGCAUAUUGAAACGUAUCUUAAACUAAAUCUAAUAACCAAAACCAGUUAUCCAUACGCUGAUAAAACGAAC
rnacentral:lncRNA from 1 species